GUGGGGAAUCUUGCGCAAUGGGCGAAAGCCUGACGCAGCCAUGCCACGUGAAUGAUGACGGUCUUAGGAUUGUAAAAUUCUUUCACCGGGGACGAUAAUGACGGUACCCGGAGAAGAAGCCCCGGCUAACUUCGUGCCAGCAGCCGCGGUAAUACGAAGGGGGCUAGCGUUGCUCGGAAUUACUGGGCGUAAAGGGCGCGUAGGCGGACAGUUUAGUCAGAGGUGAAAGCCCAGGGCUCAACCUUGGAAUUGCCUUUGAUACUGGCUGUCUUGAGUACGGGAGAGGUGAGUGGAACUCCGAGUGUAGAGGUGAAAUUCGUAGAUAUUCGGAAGAACACCAGUGGCGAAGGCGACUCACUGGCCCGUUACUGACGCUGAGGCGCGAAAGCGUGGGGAGCAAACAGGAUUAGAUACCCGAGUAGUCC
rnacentral:rRNA from 1 species